UACGAAGGGGGCUAGCAUUGUUCGGAAUUACUGGGCGUAAAGCGCGCGCAGGCGGUCUUCCAAGUCAGUGGUGAAAGCCCGGAGCUCAACUCCGGAAUUGCCAUUGAAACUGUGAGACUGGAGUACGAGAGAGGUGAGUGGAAUUCCCAGUGUAGAGGUGAAAUUCGUAGAUAUUGGGAAGAACACCGGUGGCGAAGGCGGCUCACUGGCUCGUAACUGACGCUCAGGCGCGACAGCGUGGGGAUCAAACAGG
rnacentral:rRNA from 1 species